rnacentral:rRNA from 1 species
GAGUUUGAUCCUGGCUCAGAUUGAACGCUGGCGGCAUGCUUUACACACGCAAGUCGGACGGCAGCGGGGGUGCUUGCACCUGCCGGCGAGUGGCGAACGGGUGAGUAACAUAUUGGAAUGUACCGAGUAGUGGGGGAUAACCAAUCGAAAGAUUGGCUAAUACCGCAUACGUCCUGAGGGGGGAAAGCAGGGGGAUCUUCGGACCUUGCGCUAUUUGAGCAGCCAAUAUCUGAUUAGCUAGUUGGUGGGGUAAAGGCCCACCAAGGCGACGAUCAGUAGCGGGUCUGAGAGGAUGAUCCGCCACACUGGGACUGAGACACGGCCCAGACUCCUACGGGAGGCAGCAGUGGGGAAUUUUGGACAAUGGGGGGCAACCCUGAUCCAGCCAUGCCGCGUGUCUGAAGAAGGCCUUCGGGUUGUAAAGGACUUUUGUUAGGGAAGAAAAGGGAAGUGCUAAUACCACUUUUUGCUGACGGUACCUAAAGAAUAAGCACCGGCUAACUACGUG